rnacentral:lncRNA from 1 species
CCUCACCCUCUCCCUCCCUACCUCACCCUCUCCCUCCCUUGUCCUCUCUCCCUAUUUCUGUCUCCCUCACCCUCUCUCUCUUCAUCUCUCCCUACCCUCCCUUUCUCUCCCUCACCCUCUCUCUUUUCAUCUCUCUCUCCCUACUUCUGUCCCCCUCUCUAUGUCCCAACUUCUCUCUCUCUCUCUCUCUCUCUCUCUCUCUCUCUCUUCCUCUCUCUCUGCUCCACUGAGCACUCUCUCCACACUGCUCUUUGUUGACUGCGCUGAUGGGGGCGGGGCUCUGCGGGACGGGACUCCUAUUGUGCGGGGAGAUUUGGGGGAAAGAAAGGCAAGAACCGAAACCUCGUUGUUGCAGGCGUGCCAAAAGCGUGCAAGCGGACUAUGGCGGAGGUGGACGCGGCUGUGCGCUGAGAAACACGCGGUUAUUAGCCGUGUGUCGUUGUGUUUGGUGUGGAGCAGUUUGAGUUGUGAAGUUGAGGGAGGAGCGCGGUGGUCAGCACCGUGUGUUGGCGUGUUUUGGUCGAUGGACACUGCACAUCUAUCUGCCCAUGUGCCCAGUUACUGCCUCAUGUGCCCCAUGUGCUCUGUGUGUCCCGGGGCCUGGCAGGCACGGGGUGCGGUGCACUGUUGUCCAUUCUCCCACCAAUAUUGCACUCGUCCCGGCCUCCCAGACCACGAGGACCUCACAACUUCUUCUGGAGCCACGCAGCCUGACCAUGUGCUCUCUAACACUACUGGACAGCAGGUAGCCUCACUGUUUAUCACAGUCUAGCUAAAUCCUUUCUUUCCCUGUGGCUGAUUUCAGUAUGAUAGAUUAUUAAUAGGUCAGAUAGGGCGAAGGUGGUAUGUAAUAAUAUUAUUAUUAUUAAAAAUAUAUAUUUUUUUAUAAAUUUCUACGAUCCAUUUCAACAGUAAGCAUAUCAAGGAUAUAAUAUAAAGAAUAUCAUAUAAAGAACACUGGCACAACUGUACAUUUUACUACAGAUAGUGUAAAAUAUCUUGUUUAAUUUUUUAACAUGCAGCAAAAAUGAAAUAAAUCACUGUACUAUGCAUGAAAGAUUAUUUGA